AUCAAUCAAUAUAUCAAACGUAUCAGAAGUGUGUGGUUGGAUUUUUGUUUUUAGAGGGUUUUUAUUCCCCCCAUGCUCACUUGUCUGUCCCUUUCCCUGUGGAGAAUUAAGGAGGUAUAGUAGAACCUAUAAAUUAAAAUUGUGACUUUAAUUUAUUGCCCCAUGCGUAAUUGUGCAUGGAGAGGCAUUUGCACUUCAUUGCAACUUCAUUGCAACAACCAUUGUCUUUGUAUUACCAGCUUUGUGUAACUUUUGGCGUAAUGUGAUUUUGAAAUUGUAUUGUAGAUUGACAAAUAAAUUCAUGAGCAUCAUCAAUGUGUGAAUGAUUUGUAAUGCGCUGUGAUUUCAUAGAGCUGUUCAUGGUGAUGAAAUGAGCCUCGGUGUCUGUGUCGGCAGCGUCACAGGGUGACAUUCUGGGUGACCUAAUUUUAUAUUUCCAGAUUUUGGCUUUAGAGUAGGUUUAUUUAAUUUCAACUAUGUAGCCUAAAUGGUCUCCAGUUUUCUGAAGUUAAUGUUGAGAAUGUCUCUUGUUGUGGAAAAUGUUAUUGACGUUAUGGUCUAUUUGUUUACAUCCUUGUCAUCGUUAAUUAAAGGAUUGCACCUGUCAAACCCUUUCAAUUCAUCGUACUGAUGCUUUUUUCCGCGAUGAUUUAUUUUCUCGGCGGUGAUGGCCGAGGUGAAGGCCCAGCUGUAUUACUCACGGUUCGCCACUGCCAAAAGGUGAGGUGAAAACAAGAAAGACUUCUGAUUGGACAAGAGUGACUCAAAGCGUGCAGCAAAGCAAGCUGUUCUGCUGUUAGCGGUCUAGUGUCAGAGAAUGGUGUUAUGAGACGAGAAAAGCUUGUCUUUUAGCGGUCUGUCCCAGGAGUCCUUGCAUUGAAAUUGAUAUAUUUCAGUGCCAGUGCAUAGGACUCGUAAUUUAGGCAAUCAUAUUUUCCUAAAACCCCUCUUGGUUUGGACCUACCCAGAUAGCAAAAAAUAUCCGCAAGGCUUCUUUUUGCCGCCGGCCCUUAGCUGUCGGCUAUAGGUGCGUCCUGCUGGCGGGGAUGAAACGUUUGCCGCCGAAUACGUCACUCCCAUUUCUUGCGAGAUUUUUUGACUGCUUCAUUUUCUCUGGCGGUUGCCUGGUUCUAAAAACCGCGGUCCUUCGGCGGCAAGACGCUUUUAAAUAGGCUACUCUCAAAAUCGACCGGCCAUGUUGGUUUGGACACAUUCGCAUCAGUUCAUCGCUCAAUCGCGAGUUAGUCUGCUAGCUAGCGAAGUCAUCGACUACCAUCGUUUAAAUACCUUGGCCAGAGCAUAACCGAUUAUCUUCACCCAAGAGACCUACUGUUGGUCAAUCGUUUUGGUUUUAAAGAACCAGGUUUCUCCCUAGUAAUCCAGACUCCACUUCAGAGCCAAGAGUUUGAGUACAAGGCACUUGACUUUCUGGAUAAAAGGUGUGGAGGUGUGUUGUACAUAUCAUUAGCUUUGCACAGUUCAAUUAUUGUUUCAUUACUGAAUAUGCAAUCUCUGCAGUGAAAUUAAAGCUGUUGUGUUUUUUCCCCCAGUUCGUCAAGUACUAAACUUUACACCCCCAGCAGAAAAUGUACCCUGGCAGCAAAUGGGUGAAAAGGCUGGAGGAGAAAGUCAUCGCUCCGUUAUUGGCCCUUGGACUCCCCUGGCAUCGCAUGUACAGCAUGAAGUUUUCAGCAAUGAAGGUAUACUCUAGGCCUAUGUCCUAAUGUCCAGUUUUUUAAAAGUUUUGAAAAUAACUGUGCCUUUAGUUUUCCAGAACGAGAACCAAGCCCUGAGGGAGGAGAACCAAGCCCUGAGGGAGGAGAACCAAGCCCUGAGGGAGGAGAACCAAGCCCUGAGGGAGGAGAACCAAGCCCUGAGGGAGGAGAACCAAGCCCUGAGGGAGGAGAACCAAGCCCUGAGGGAGGAGAACCAAGCCCUGAGGGAGGAGAACCAAGCCCUGAGGGAGGAGAACCAUGCCCUGAGGGAGGGGAGCCAUGCACGAGCAGCUUCGGGUGACAGCGGCUCGCUUUAAGAGCAGGUGAAGCUAUUUGGGACAACGCUGAAGAUGUUUGCUCGCACUGGGCAAUCAGGUGCAGAUCAGACCCUAGUGCUGCGACGUCUUGGAGAGUUUGGCGAUGUUGUGCGUAGCAUGGAAAACAAAAUGGACACUAUGCUGCAACAUUUCAGUGCCAAUGUGUCUGUUGGAGAGCUAUCCCUGCCAGGGGAUGUUACUCCCCCUAGACACCCAGGAAGAUUUGGUGUUUCUUGACAGCAUUUUGAGGGAGGAUAAAGAGCUCCAGGAACGAUUUGGGCCCUCCGGAAGAACCCGGCAACCCAGGAUGCCACUGAUGAGGCGGUCCAGGUUAACGUUACACGUUACCUGAAAGGAGCAUCAGACUGUGAAUGAGGAAAAAGCCGCCCAGCUGAGAAGGACCCACAGCCAACCCCUUAAACCUAGGCUGACUACUGACACCCCAGCAUCCCUGAACUGGAACACUUUCUUUAUCCUGCAGUCAGUAACAUCAAGAAGCCAGAAGUGCCAGACUACACUCACCAAACCCACCCUGUUUUUUUUUGUAUUAACUUUAGUAUUGGCUUAUUUCAUUCCAUCUUAACGAUUCUAUUAUAGUUUGUAAAUCCUAUUUCAUACCUGUUACUUGAUAUUGCGCAUUAACUAGUACCAACAUUCUACUUUCA
ensembl:lncRNA